rfam:Picea glauca, whole genome shotgun sequence.
UAAAAGGCUUUUCUCAAAGCCAUCCAUUUCUCUCAGAUGUACAUGG